rnacentral:rRNA from 1 species
UACGGAGGAUCCAAGCGUUAUCCGGAAUCAUUGGGUUUAAAGGGUCCGUAGGCGGCUUGGUAAGUCAGUGGUGAAAGCCCAUCGCUCAACGGUGGAACGGCCAUUGAUACUGCCAGACUUGAAUUAUUAGGAAGUAACUAGAAUAUGUAGUGUAGCGGUGAAAUGCUUAGAGAUUACAUGGAAUACCAAUUGCGAAGGCAGGUUACUACUAAUGGAUUGACGCUGAUGGACGAAAGCGUGGGUAGCGAACAGG